UAUGUGGGGUAGGGGAGCGUUCUGUAAGCCGUUGAAGGUGGUCUGUAAGGGCUGCUGGAGGUAUCAGAAGUGCGAAUGCUGACAUGAGUAACGAUAAAGGGAGUGAAAAACUCCCUCGCCGGAAGACCAAGGGUUCCUGUCCAACGUUAAUCGGGGCAGGGUAAGUCGACUCCUAAGGCGAGGCCGAAAGGCGUAGUCGAUGGGAAACGGGUUAAUAUUCCCGUACUUCUUACAAUUGCGAUGGGGGGACGGAGAAGGCUAGGUGGGCCUGGCGACGGUUGUCCAGGUUCAAGUACGUAGGCGG
rnacentral:rRNA from 1 species